UGGAUAUCCAAACGUUGUCAUUCCUAACUAAAAGCAUUAUAACGUAUCAAUAAAUGGGUACCCAAUGAUAGUACACGACAUUGAUUUGGUGCAAUAUUAGGUAAGUCUUUAGAAUAAAAUAUGUUUAAGCUACGGAAAACACCUCAUCAGGGAUGCAAUUGCACUUCUUAUUUGCCUGUGACAUUAAACAUACGUAUGCUUGAUCUAUCAUAUGACUGCAUAUAUGGAAGCAACUCCAACGGCCUUAGAGUUUCAGUUAUGUCUGUGACUGCAAGGUCAGCCAGUUCUGCAAGUUGGAGAAAAUAACUGAAGGUUUCAAUAUUGCGAAUGACUGCGGCAAUAUAAGCCACAGGUGCUUUCUUUAGUCCAUCUUUUGAAGAACCAUUCUCUAGUCUCUCAACUAGAGGAACAUCAACUUCACAGCCAAUUUGAUCUGCCUUGCUUUUCAACCCAUCUAAAUCACAGGCUGUGUGAGCUUCACCAUCAUCAGUGCCAUUGACUUUGAUAUCGAUGCGGUUAGAAUGUAUUAAUAAGCCCUGGCAACUGUUCUUUAGCAGUUGAGACUCCGAGCAUGCCUUUUUUAUGUUCAAGAGAAUGGCUAGUAAUUGAACAAGGUAUGGGAGGCACGAUGGAUCAUAAAUUAUAUCUGCACCCAAACUUUAAAUUGAAAAACAAGGUAAAUGGCAAUGGAUUCAGUAGCAGUCCUAAACUCCGAAUCGAAGACAAUGAAUUAAACCCCCAGUCACAUAAGAAACUAAAAGACAUUGCAUCAAAUACUUAAUAUUAUGUUUGGCAUUAAAUUUGAAAAAUAACUAUUUUUUUUUUUAAAGUGUUGAAAAAUACCUUUUAGAAAAGCACAAUUUUAGACGUUGAAAAAAGCCAUUUAAAGUAGCUUAGCUGUUUUGUAGUUUAUAUAACUAAAUCAUAUCAAAUUUAAUAUAAAAGUAAGCUCAAAUAGUAAUGCCAAACAAAAUGGAAAAGUAAGCCGACAGAAAAGUACAGUACUCACACAAUGUCAGGCAUGAACUCCUGAAGCUCAUUCUUUGUUGCAGAUUCCCAAGGCAGAUGAAUGCAAUUCACCUGAGAUUUAUUGUCCAUUUCAGCUUUCGCCUGCUUUCUGUAUAACUGUUUACUACAGUCAUUGCUUGGUUCUGAUCUUUAUUUAUUAACUUUCCAUUCAAUUCAAAGAAAAUAACCCACAAAAUGAGUCAUUGCUUGGUUCAGCUUUCACUUCCAUAGUUAAGUUCCACAAAAUAAAACAAGCAAAGACGAUGAUAUGCUCAGCUAGUUGCUUAAAUAACAGCUACUAGAUGGGGAACCAACACAACUGUGAUCAUCGAAUCAAUUUAUCUCUUGCACAUACAACUCAUAAGAAUUCCUUGAGUUAUUCUAUUGUCUUAUUAUUAUAGCAUCCCAGUAUCUUAACUAGAAGAGAAAAAUUAAAUAAAAAUAGAGUUAAAAUGGACCCCAAUGAUCAAAACAACUUGCUGGCUAGGACUUCCAUAGCUUAUAAUACAAGGGGGAGAGAGAACUUUAACACUCACCAUAUUUAGAUCUUGGGAAGAUCUUUCUGGCAUGCCAGUAUCAGUCCUCAACUGGUUUAACUCCAAAUUAAGCUUCAUGUUAGCUAAAGUUGACAAAUCACCGUCACUUAAUAUAACCUUGGAAGCUUUUACAUGGUAAAGACAAAUUCCAACCAAACCAACACCAGAACCAACCUCAAAACAUGAUUUUCUGAAGAAUAUGUUGGGAAAAGAAAGGACAAACUCUGAUAAAUAUAGACUUGCGGGCCAAACAGCACACCCAGUGUCUCCUUCAAGCAUGUUGAGUGAACAAUGCAGUGGAACCAUCAACUUUCUCGGCAUUGGACAACUUGGAGACCCAGAACAGCCAUCAGGAAAAAGAAAAGAGAUGCACUUGCAGACCCUUGUAUUCCCUUUGCCUGAAAUAUCAUCCUAUCAAAACAGCAACCAAGUUGAUUGUAAUUCAAGUACUGAAGCAUGCGAACAAGAUCAACACAGUAACAGAUGCUUAUUCAAGCAGAACCUAAGCCUUACCUUCAAUGAAGUCAUGUAAUAACCAUACUGUUCAUAUAAUUCAUCCAACACGGUGCUAUGACUUGAUUCAAUCUCAAAAAUUAGCUUCUUUAGAAAAUUCUUCAAGUAUGGUGCAUUACCUUUUCCAAUCUGCAGUGUUCACACAACUGAACCAAGCUUUGUGAUCAUGAACACGCCUAUUAAUCACCAAAUUUUACUUUUCAAAUUUUUUAAAUGCCAACCUAAGUGCCCCCAAAAUUUUUUUUCCUACUUCUAAUAUCUUUCCUCUAAUGCAAAUCAGAUCACAGGUAACAAAUAAAGUUACGGUGCAUAAUGACUACUACUUACUGCUUCGCCUAUACAAUAGUCCCAAAUAAACCUCUGCACCCUCUCUGUAACCAAACCUCCUCCGCAUGCUCUUGCGAUUGAUAUUAAGGAAUCCGUCGGCUCCAUUGCUAGGAAUGCAGAGACCAGGUGAAGGCCGGGGGGGACUGUCGGAUCGAGCUUGGAGUUCGCCAUGGCCGCAGCAGAGUUUAGGAUUUUGGCCAUUUUGGGGGUUUUGACUGAAGUUGACAGACCUCAACUUUUGCACGGACGGAAUGAUUUGACU
rnacentral:misc_RNA from 1 species